UACGGAGGAUCCGAGCGUUAUCCGGAUUUAUUGGGUUUAAAGGGUGCGCAGGCGGGAGAUUAAGUCGGCGGUGAAAUUUUGCAGCUCAACUGUAACAGUGCCGUUGAUACUGGGGAGCUAGGAUUUGGUUGCUGUGGGUGGAAUGUGUGGUGUAGCGGUGAAAUGCUUAGAGAUCACACAGAAUAUCGAUUGCGAAGGCAGCUCACAAAGCCAAGAUUGACGCUGAGGCACGAAAGUGUGGGGAGUCAAACAGGA
rnacentral:rRNA from 1 species